rnacentral:rRNA from 1 species
UACAGAGGUGGCAAGCGUUGUUCGGAAUUACUGGGCGUAAAGGGCGAGUAGGCGGCCUUCUAAGUCAGACGUGAAAUCCCCCGGCUUAACCUGGGAACUGCGUCUGAUACUGGAAGGCUUGAGUGCGGGAGAGGGAUGUGGAAUUCCAGGUGUAGCGGUGAAAUGCGUAGAUAUCGGGAGGAACACCAGUGGCGAAGGCGGUUAGCUGGCCUGUAACUGACACUGAGGCGCGAAGGCUAGGGGAGCGAACAGG